rnacentral:rRNA from 1 species
UACGUAGGGUGCGAGCGUUGUCCGGAAUUAUUGGGCGUAAAGAGCGCGCAGGCGGCUUGGUAAGUCGGAUGUGAAAUCCCGAGGCUCAACCUCGGGUCUGCAUCCGAUACUGCCCGGCUAGAGGUAGGUAGGGGAGAUCGGAAUUCCUGGUGUAGCGGUGAAAUGCGCAGAUAUCAGGAGGAACACCGGUGGCGAAGGCGGAUCUCUGGGCCUUACCUGACGCUCAGGCGCGAAAGCUAGGGGAGCGAACUGG